rnacentral:rRNA from 1 species
AUUGAACGCUGGCGGCAGGCCUAACACAUGCAAGUCGAGCGGCAGCGGGAAAGUAGCUUGCUACUUUUGCCGGCGAGCGGCGGACGGGUGAGUAAUGCCUGGGAAAUUGCCCAGUCGAGGGGGAUAACAGUUGGAAACGACUGCUAAUACCGCAUACGCCCUACGGGGGAAAGCAGGGGACCUUCGGGCCUUGCGCGAUUGGAUAUGCCCAGGUGGGAGUAGCUAGUUGGUGAGGUAAUGGCUCAACAAGGCGACGAUCCCUAGCUGGUCUGAGAGGAUGAUCAGCCACACUGGAACUGAGACACGGUCCAGACUCCUACGGGAGGCAGCAGUGGGGAAUAUUGCACAAUGGGGGAAACCCUGAUGCAGCCAUGCCGCGUGCGUGAAGAAGGCCUUCGGGUUGUAAAGCACUUUCAGCGAGGAGGAAAGGUUGAUGCCUAAUACGUAUCAACUGUGACGUUACUCGCAGAAGAAGCACCGGCUAACUCCGUGCCAGCCGCCGCCGUAAGAC